rnacentral:pre_miRNA from 1 species
UUAACUCAAAUUUGUAUGGUGUUUACGUUUACCUACAUUUGCCGCUAGGGGCGCUGUUCCAACUGCAUGCAGAUUUGAGUUA